GGCUCCGAGGGCCCGCGGCGCGCAGGCGUGCAGGCGAACCCGCCCCCACGCCGACACGUGACACUCCGCUACGCGGGGCGGGACUUCUGCUAAAGCGCUGGGAACAGUCUGCGGAGUUGGUUGCGUCCGGACUCUCCGGCUUGGCGUUCUCACAAGGACCAGAUUUGGAGCCAGCUGACUGUCCUGUGAUUUCAGAUGUCCAGACAUCUCUUCAUGUGCCAUCUCGCAAACAGUCACAACUACCUAAGUCCCACAGGAGCAGUGCUGAUAUCCUUCCUGCUCCCAAAACGGGCUUUGUCAACAGAAAAGAGAAGGAAUGACUGUUGGGAGACAACUGAUACUGUCUGCAACUGGGAGUCUUUGAAAGGCUUUUAAACGAGAUGAAGCGAUUUAUAUGUCUGCAAGAUUUUUCUGUUGCAGGGUGUAGGAUGAAAUCUGGAAUCAAGAGAGAGAUAGUAAGGCAUCAAGAUCAGUUACUUGCUGUGAUAAUACAGGAAAAAGAGAAUGGGGACCCAGAGGAGGGACUUGGCAACUAGAAUGGUAGGAAGUUGAUGCAUUCAAAAUAAAUAUCCAUUUAUUAAAGUUGUUUACUUUUUACCAGAGUAAUACAUAGUUUUAAAAGUACAUAGUGUUAUUAUGUUAACAAUAAAAACAUUUCAAAAUAACAUGCA